rnacentral:rRNA from 1 species
AACGCGAAGAACCCUACCAGGUCUUGACAUCCUUUGACCAAUAUUGUGAAACCAUUUUCCCAUCGGGGACAAAGUGACAGGUGGUGCAUGGUUGUCGUCAGCUCGUGUCGUGAGAUGUUGGGUUAAGUCCCGCAACGAGCGCAACCCUUAUUGUUAGUUGCCAUCAUUCAGUUGGGCACUCUAGCGAGACUGCCGGUGACAAACCGGAGGAAGGUGGGGAUGACGUCAAAUCACCACGGCCCUUACGUCCUGGGCUACACACGUGCUACAAUGGGAAGUACAACGAGUUGCGAAGUCGCGAGGCUAAGCUAAUCUCUUAAAGCUUCUCUCAGUUCGGAUUGCAGGCUGCAACUCGCCUGCAUGAAGCCGGAAUCGCUAGUAAUCGCGGAUCAGCACGCCGCGGUGAAUACGUUCCCGGGCCUCUUGUACACACCG